rnacentral:rRNA from 1 species
GACGAACGCUGGCGGCGUGCUUAACACAUGCAAGUCGAACGGAAAGGCCCUGCUCUUGCGGGGCGCUCGAGUGGCGAACGGGUGAGUAACACGUGAGUAACCUGCCCUUGACUUUGGGAUAACUUCAGGAAACUGGGGCUAAUACCGGAUAGGAGCUCCUGCUGCAUGGUGGGGGUUGGUAAGUUUCGGCGGUUGGGGAUGGUCUGGCGGCGUAUCAGCUUGUUGGUGGAGUAGUGGCUUACCAAGGCUUUGACGGGUAGCCGGCCUGAGAGGGUGACCGGCCACAUUGGGACUGAGGUACGGCCCAGACUCCUACGGGAGGCAACAGUGGGAAAUAUUGCACAAUAAACGGAAGCCUGAUGCAGCAGCGCCGCGUGCGGGAUAACGGCCUUCUGGUUGUAAACCGCUUUCGCCUGUAACGAAGCGUGAGUGACGGUAAUGGAUAAAGAAGCACCGGCUAACUACGUG